CGAAGGUAGCAUAAUCAGUAGUCUUUUAAUUGAAGGCUUGAAUGAAUGGUUGGACGAGAAGUAAGCUGUCUCUUUUAUAUAAUUUGAAUUUAACUUUUAAGUGAAAAGGCUUAAAUUGUUUAGUGGGACGAUAAGACCCUAUAAAACUUGAUAUAAGUUUAAUUUAAUUUGUGAUUUAAGUGAAGAACAAUUUUGUUAAAUUUAUAUUUUGUUGGGGAGAUGUAGAUAUAAAAUAUAACUGUCUAUUAAAUUUAAUAGUAAUAAUUAAUUUUUGAUCCUUCUGUGGGGAUUAGGAGAAUAAGUUACUUUAGGGAUAACAGCGUGAUUUUCCUUGAGAGUUCUUAUCGACAGGAGUAGUUGCGACCUCGAUGU
rnacentral:rRNA from 1 species